UACGUAGGGUGCGAGCGUUGUCCGGAAUUACUGGGCGUAAAGAGCUCUAGGUGGUUUGUCGCGUUGUCCGUGAAAACUCACAACUCAAUUGUGGGCGUGCGGGCGAUACGGGCAGACUGGAGUACUGCAGGGGAGACUGGAAUUCCUGGUGUAGCGGUGGAAUGCGCAGAUAUCAGGAGGAACACCGGUGGCGAAGGCGGGUCUCUGGGCAGUAACUGACGCUGAGGAGCGAAAGCGUGGGGAGCGAACAGG
rnacentral:rRNA from 1 species